ACUCCUGCCCAACCCGCGGACGGUGAGCGAGGCCACAAAGAACUCGCAUGUCCGGAGCACUCGCAGCGACAUCAAUUUAUUCUUCGUCUUCCUAGGGCAGUUCAUCGACCAUGAUCUCGUCAUCACUCCAUUUGUUGAGGAUCCCCAAAAUCCCGGGAAAAACCUACGUUGUCCAAAUUGCAGCUCAUGGCUUCAGCACCCAGGCUGCGCGCCUAUCAACGUGUCGCCUCACGACAGCUUCUUCAGGGGACCUCGCGCUCCCGCUUGCCUGCCUUUCACGCGUUCAGCUGGUAUACCGGUCGUCGACUCGUCAGGCGUCGAGCGUCUAGAGAUCCUCAACCUCAACACUGCUUACCUCGACCUCUC